rnacentral:rRNA from 1 species
UACGAAGGGGGCUAGCGUUGCUCGGAAUCACUGGGCGUAAAGGGUGCGUAGGCGGGUCUUUAAGUCAGAGGUGAAAUCCUGGAGCUCAACUCCAGAAUUGCCUUUGAUACUGAGGAUCUUGAGUCCGGGAGAGGUGAGUGGAACUGCGAGUGUAGAGGUGAAAUUCGUAGAUAUUCGCAAGAACACCAGUGGCGAAGGCGGCUCACUGGCCCGGUACUGACGCUGAGGUGCGAAAGCGUGGGGAGCAAACAGG